UGCGCAGGCGGGACUGCAAGUUGGAUGUGAAAUACCGGAGCUCAACUCCGGAACUGCAUCCAAAACUGUAGUUCUUGAGUGGAGUAGAGGUAAGCGGAAUUCCGAGUGUAGCGGUGAAAUGCGUAGAUAUUCGGAGGAACACCAGUGGCGAAGGCGGCUUACUGGGCUCUAACUGACGCUGAGGCACGAAAGUGUGGGUAGCAAACA
rnacentral:rRNA from 1 species